GCCAAACAGCUAGCUUACAAUUAUUUAACUAGAAAAUAUAAAUAAAAUCUUUAACUUAAAUUAUUAAACAAACCAUUUUUCUGCUUUAGUACGGGCGACGGAAAAAGCUCAAUAAGCAAUAGAAGAAGUACCGCAAGGGAAAGCUGAAAAAGCAAUGAAACAAAUCAUCAAUAGCGCAAAAAAGCAGAGACUAAACCUCGUACCUUUUGCAUCAUGAUUUAGCAAGCACUUAUAAGCAAAGAGACCUUUAGUUUUAAACCCCGAAACCAAGUGAGCUACCCCGAGACAGCCUAUCCCGGGCCAACCCGUCUCUGUGGCAAAAGAGUGGGAAGAUCUUUGGGUAGAGGUGACAGACCUACCGAACUUGGUGAUAGCUGGUUGCCUGAGAAAUGAAUAGAAGUUCAGCCUCGUAGGUCCCUCUAUCAAGCUAGUAAAAGCUACAGUAGUAAAAAGGAAACACAUGAGAGUUAGUUAAAGGGGGUACAGCCCAUUUAACCAAGGACACAACCUUAACAGGUGAAUAAGGAUUAUAAUUUUUUAGAUCCGUCGUUUUAGUGGGCCUAAAAGCAGCCAUCUAAGCAGAAAGCGUUAAAGCUCAGACGACAAAAAAUCUUUUAUAUUAAUAGCUAAUCCUACUUCCCUAAAAAUAUCAGGCCACUCCAUGCCCCCAUGGAAGAAAUUAUGCUAAAAUGAGUAACAAGAGAAAAAACUUCUCUCCUUACACAAGUGUAAGCCGGAUCGGACAAACCACCGGCAUUUAACGGACCCAGAAAGAGGGAAGCACAAACAUCUUACUAAACAAGAAAAACUUAUGCACAAAACCCGUUGACCCUACACUGGAGUGUAUUAUGGAAAGACAAAAAGAAAAGGAAGGAACUCGGCAAACACAAGCCUCGCCUGUUUACCAAAAACAUCGCCUCCUGCAAACAUCUAAGUAUAGGAGGUCCAGCCUGCCCAGUGACCCAAAGUUCAACGGCCGCGGUAUUUUGACCGUGCAAAGGUAGCGCAAUCACUUGUCUUUUAAAUGAAGACCUGUAUGAAUGGCUAAACGAGGGCUUAACUGUCUCCCUUUUCAAGUCAGUGAAAUUGAUCUGCCCGUGCAGAAGCGGACAUAAAACUACAAGACGAGAAGACCCUUUGGAGCUUUAGGUACAAGUUCAACCAUGUAAAACAGCCCCCAAACAGCUUAAAACCUAAUGGCUAUGCAACUUUACCUUCGGUUGGGGCGACCACGGAGAAAAAAUCAUCCUCCGAGUGGACUGGGGUAAUAACCCUAAAACCAAGAAAGACAUUUCUAAGUCACAGAAAAUCUGACCAAAAAUGAUCCGGUUAAUAAACCGAUCAACGGACCAAGUUACCCUAGGGAUAACAGCGCAAUCCUCUCCCAGAGUCCAUAUCGACGAGGGGGUUUACGACCUCGAUGUUGGAUCAGGACAUCCUAAUGGUGCAGCCGCUAUUAAGGGUUCGUUUGUUCAACGAUUAAAGUCCUACGUGAUCUGAGUUCAGACCGGAGUAAUCCAGGUCAGUUUCUAUCUGUAACGCCACUUUUCCUAGUACGAAAGGACCGGAAAAAGGAGGCCCAUGCCAAAAGCACGCCUCACCUAUAAUUAAUGAGACAAACUCAAUUAAGUAAAUAGGGGCCUCACAAACAGGCCAAGAUAAAGCCUU
rnacentral:rRNA from 1 species